GGGUAUAGCUUAAGUGGUAGAGCACAUGCUUAGCAUGCAGGAAGGUCCUGGGUUCAAUCCCCAGCAUGUCCU
rnacentral:tRNA from 1 species